UGUGGGUCGUAAACCUCUUUUCUCAGGGAAGAAGUACUGACGGUACCUGAGGAAUCAGCAUCGGCUAACUCCGUGCCAGCAGCCGCGGUAAGACGGAGGAUGCAAGCGUUAUCCGGAAUUAUUGGGCGUAAAGCGUCCGUAGGUGGUAUAGAAAGUCUGUUGUUAAAUCCCACAGCUCAACUGUGGAUCGGCAAUGGAAACUACUAAACUUGAGUGUGGUAGGGGUAGAGGGAAUUCCUAGUGUAGCGGUGAAAUGCGUAGAUAUUAGGAAGAACACCAGUGGCGAAGGCGCUCUACUGGGCCAUAACUGACACUGAUGGACGAAAGCUAGGGG
rnacentral:rRNA from 1 species